rnacentral:rRNA from 1 species
AGCGUACACGGUGGAUGCCCUGGCAGUCAGAGGCGAUGAAGGACGUGCUAAUCUGCGAUAAGCGUCGGUAAGGUGAUAUGAACCGUUAUAACCGGCGAUUUCCGAAUGGGGAAACCCAGUGUGAUUCGUCACACUAUCAUUAACUGAAUCCAUAGGUUAAUGAGGCGAACCGGGGGAACUGAAACAUCUAAGUACCCCGAGGAAAAGAAAUCAACCGAGAUUCCCCCAGUAGCGGCGAGCGAACGGGGAGCAGCCCAGAGCCUGAAUCAGUGUGUGUGUUAGUGGAAGCGUCUGGAAAGGCGCGCGAUACAGGGUGACAGCCCCGUACACAAAAAUGCACAUGCUGUGAGCUCGAUGAGUAGGGCGGGACACGUGGUAUCCUGUCUGAAUAUGGGGGGACCAUCCUCCAAGGCUAAAUACUCCUGACUGACCGAUAGUGAACCAGUACCGUGAGGGAAAGGCGAAAAGAACCCCGGCGAGGGGAGUGAAAAAGAACCUGAAACCGUGUACGUACAAGCAGUGGGAGCACAGAGCAAUCUGUGUGACUGCGUACCUUUUGUAUAAUGGGUCAGCGACUUAUAUUCUGUAGCAAGGUUAACCGAAUAGGGGAGCCGAAGGGAAACCGAGUCUUAACUGGGCGUUAAGUUGCAGGGUAUAGACCCGAAACCCGGUGAUCUAGCCAUGGGCAGGUUGAAGGUUGGGUAACACUAACUGGAGGACCGAACCGACUAAUGUUGAAAAAUUAGCGGAUGACUUGUGGCUGGGGGUGAAAGGCCAAUCAAACCGGGAGAUAGCUGGUUCUCCCCGAAAGCUAUUUAGGUAGCGCCUCGUGAAUUCAUCUCCGGGGGUAGAGCACUGUUUCGGCAAGGGGGUCAUCCCGACUUACCAACCCGAUGCAAACUGCGAAUACCGGAGAAUGUUAUCACGGGAGACACACGGCGGGUGCUAACGUCCGUCGUGAAGAGGGAAACAACCCAGACCGCCAGCUAAGGUCCCAAAGUCAUGGUUAAGUGGGAAACGAUGUGGGAAGGCCCAGACAGCCAGGAUGUUGGCUUAGAAGCAGCCAUCAUUUAAAGAAAGCGUAAUAGCUCACUGGUCGAGUCGGCCUGCGCGGAAGAUGUAACGGGGCUAAACCAUGCACCGAAGCUGCGGCAGCGACGCUUAUGCGUUGUUGGGUAGGGGAGCGUUCUGUAAGCCUGCGAAGGUGUGCUGUGAGGCAUGCUGGAGGUAUCAGAAGUGCGAAUGCUGACAUAAGUAACGAUAAAGCGGGUGAAAAGCCCGCUCGCCGGAAGACCAAGGGUUCCUGUCCAACGUUAAUCGGGGCAGGGUGAGUCGACCCCUAAGGCGAGGCCGAAAGGCGUAGUCGAUGGGAAACAGGUUAAUAUUCCUGUACUUGGUGUUACUGCGAAGGGGGGACGGAGAAGGCUAUGUUGGCCGGGCGACGGUUGUCCCGGUUUAAGCGUGUAGGCUGGUUUUCCAGGCAAAUCCGGAAAAUCAAGGCUGAGGCGUGAUGACGAGGCACUACGGUGCUGAAGCAACAAAUGCCCUGCUUCCAGGAAAAGCCUCUAAGCAUCAGGUAACAUCAAAUCGUACCCCAAACCGACACAGGUGGUCAGGUAGAGAAUACCAAGGCGCUUGAGAGAACUCGGGUGAAGGAACUAGGCAAAAUGGUGCCGUAACUUCGGGAGAAGGCACGCUGAUAUGUAGGUGAAGUCCCUCGCGGAUGGAGCUGAAAUCAGUCGAAGAUACCAGCUGGCUGCAACUGUUUAUUAAAAACACAGCACUGUGCAAACACGAAAGUGGACGUAUACGGUGUGACGCCUGCCCGGUGCCGGAAGGUUAAUUGAUGGGGUCAGCGCAAGCGAAGCUCUUGAUCGAAGCCCCGGUAAACGGCGGCCGUAACUAUAACGGUCCUAAGGUAGCGAAAUUCCUUGUCGGGUAAGUUCCGACCUGCACGAAUGGCGUAAUGAUGGCCAGGCUGUCUCCACCCGAGACUCAGUGAAAUUGAACUCGCUGUGAAGAUGCAGUGUACCCGCGGCAAGACGGAAAGACCCCGUGAACCUUUACUAUAGCUUGACACUGAACAUUGAGCCUUGAUGUGUAGGAUAGGUGGGAGGCUUUGAAGUGUGGACGCCAGUCUGCAUGGAGCCGACCUUGAAAUACCACCCUUUAAUGUUUGAUGUUCUAACGUUGACCCGUAAUCCGGGUUGCGGACAGUGUCUGGUGGGUAGUUUGACUGGGGCGGUCUCCUCCUAAAGAGUAACGGAGGAGCACGAAGGUUGGCUAAUCCUGGUCGGACAUCAGGAGGUUAGUGCAAUGGCAUAAGCCAGCUUGACUGCGAGCGUGACGGCGCGAGCAGGUGCGAAAGCAGGUCAUAGUGAUCCGGUGGUUCUGAAUGGAAGGGCCAUCGCUCAACGGAUAAAAGGUACUCCGGGGAUAACAGGCUGAUACCGCCCAAGAGUUCAUAUCGACGGCGGUGUUUGGCACCUCGAUGUCGGCUCAUCACAUCCUGGGGCUGAAGUAGGUCCCAAGGGUAUGGCUGUUCGCCAUUUAAAGUGGUACGCGAGCUGGGUUUAGAACGUCGUGAGACAGUUCGGUCCCUAUCUGCCGUGGGCGCUGGAGAACUGAGGGGGGCUGCUCCUAGUACGAGAGGACCGGAGUGGACGCAUCACUGGUGUUCGGGUUGUCAUGCCAAUGGCACUGCCCGGUAGCUAAAUGCGGAAGAGAUAAGUGCUGAAAGCAUCUAAGCACGAAACUUGCCCCGAGAUGAGUUCUCCCUGACUCCUUGA